UUUGAAAAGUCUUUCUUAUUUCCAAAGUCAGAGGUAUAAAAGUCUCAAUGAACAUUUUUUCUUCUUUUUUUUUUAUUUUUAUUUUUGUGGGAGAUGGGGUCUCACUCUGUUGCCCAGGCUAGAGUGCAGUGGCACGAUCGUGGCUCACUGCAGCCCCAAUCUCUUGGGCUUAAGUGAUCCUCCCAUAUCAGCCUCCCAAGUAACUGGGACUACAUGCAUGUGCCACCACGACUGGUUGGUUCUGUACCUCUUGUACCUGACUGUCAUCAGCAUUAAGUAGCCUUUAGUGUGUCUUAUCUUAACUAGUG
rnacentral:lncRNA from 1 species